GACGAACGCUGGCGGCGUGCCUAAUACAUGCAAGUCGAACGAACUCUGGUAUUGAUUGGUGCUUGCAUCAUGAUUUACAUUUGAGUGAGUGGCGAACUGGUGAGUAACACGUGGGAAACCUGCCCAGAAGCGGGGGAUAACACCUGGAAACAGAUGCUAAUACCGCAUAACAACUUGGACCGCAUGGUCCGAGCUUGAAAGAUGGCUUCGGCUAUCACUUUUGGAUGGUCCCGCGGCGUAUUAGCUAGAUGGUGGGGUAACGGCUCACCAUGGCAAUGAUACGUAGCCGACCUGAGAGGGUAAUCGGCCACAUUGGGACUGAGACACGGCCCAAACUCCUACGGGAGGCAGCAGUAGGGAAUCUUCCACAAUGGACGAAAGUCUGAUGGAGCAACGCCGCGUGAGUGAAGAAGGGUUUCGGCUCGUAAAACUCUGUUGUUAAAGAAGAACAUAUCUGAGAGUAACUGUUCAGGUAUUGACGGUAUUUAACCAGAAAGCCACGGCUAACUACGUGCCAGCAGCCGCGGUAAUACGUAGGUGGCAAGCGUUGUCCGGAUUUAUUGGGCGUAAAGCGAGCGCAGGCGGUUUUUUAAGUCUGAUGUGAAAGCCUUCGGCUCAACCGAAGAAGUGCAUCGGAAACUGGGAAACUUGAGUGCAGAAGAGGACAGUGGAACUCCAUGUGUAGCGGUGAAAUGCGUAGAUAUAUGGAAGAACACCAGUGGCGAAGGCGGCUGUCUGGUCUGUAACUGACGCUGAGGCUCGAAAGUAUGGGUAGCAAACAGGAUUAGAUACCCUGGUAGUCCAUACCGUAAACGAUGAAUGCUAAGUGUUGGAGGGUUUCCGCCCUUCAGUGCUGCAGCUAACGCAUUAAGCAUUCCGCCUGGGGAGUACGGCCGCAAGGCUGAAACUCAAAGGAAUUGACGGGGGCCCGCACAAGCGGUGGAGCAUGUGGUUUAAUUCGAAGCUACGCGAAGAACCUUACCAGGUCUUGACAUACUAUGCAAAUCUAAGAGAUUAGACGUUCCCUUCGGGGACAUGGAUACAGGUGGUGCAUGGUUGUCGUCAGCUCGUGUCGUGAGAUGUUGGGUUAAGUCCCGCAACGAGCGCAACCCUUAUUAUCAGUUGCCAGCAUUAAGUUGGGCACUCUGGUGAGACUGCCGGUGACAAACCGGAGGAAGGUGGGGAUGACGUCAAAUCAUCAUGCCCCCUAUGACCUGGGCUACACACGUGCUACAAUGGAUGGUACAACGAGUUGCGAACUCGCGAGAGUAAGCUAAUCUCUUAAAGCCAUUCUCAGUUCGGAUUGUAGGCUGCAACUCGCCUACAUGAAGUCGGAAUCGCUAGUAAUCGCGGAUCAGCAUGCCGCGGUGAAUACGUUCCCGGGCCUUGUACACACCGCCCGUCACACCAUGAGAGUUUGUAACACCCAAAGUCGGUGGGGUAACCUUUUAGGAACCAGCCGCCUAAGGUGGGACAGAUGAUUAGGGUGAAGUCGUAACAAGGUAGCCGUAG
rnacentral:rRNA from 1 species